rnacentral:lncRNA from 1 species
GACUGUACUGCUUUGUGCCUCAGUGUCAUUAUCCAUUUCAGAUGAUGAAGAAGAAGGAGGAAGAAGACAUGCCGUUACAAAGAAGUGCAAGUGUGCGGAUUGCAGCGAAGACCUUUAAAUCCAAUAAGAGCUCCAACCAAGAGGAGGAGCAGCAGAGCCCAUUUCAGAGAAACUCCCGGCAGAGGCUGUCAUCUCGCUCCAUUCAGGAGAAAAUGGGACGACUGGCUCAAGCCUCACAGAAAUGGGAAAUAUCCAAAUCCCCAGUGGUGCACCAGACUGUGUGUUUAGCGGAUGAGGUGUCAAGGAAGAGGGAGCUGUUUGAGAAAGAACAGGAGGGAUCCGACAGAAGCCAUGUGUUCUCCAAACAGGAAUUUCGCAGCUUUUCUUCGGGAAUCUCUGAUCGAAUUAAUCGCUGGGUUCAGAAGAAAACAUUUGCCGUGUCAUCAUCAUCACCAUCAUCAGCAUCAUCCUCAUCUCAUAGUCCUUUGGAUCUGAGACAUGUGAACAUCUCCAUUAAGAAAAGUUUGUUUGAAAGAGGACAAGACCAGGACCACAAGUGACACUCUCGUGGAUAAAGACAAAGUGAGGUGAUCGUUUGUGUCUGAAUAAAAAUAGAGAUGAAGAAAUGUCUGGCUCAUAUUUCAUCAUUAAAAAAUGUACAGAAGACAUACAAAAUUAUACAGGAAUUUAUAUUCAAGC